CCUACGGGAGGCAGCAGUGAGGAAUAUUGGUCAAUGGACGAGAGUCUGAACCAGCCAAGUAGCGUGAAGGAUGACUGCCCUAUGGGUUGUAAACUUCUUUUAUCUGGGAAUAAAAUGUUCCACGUGUGGGAUUUUGUAUGUACCAUAUGAAUAAGGAUCGGCUUACUCCGUGCCAGCAGCCGCGGUAAUACGGAGGAUCCGAGCGUUAUCCGGAUUUAUUGGGUUUAAAGGGAGCGUAGGUGGAUUGUUAAGUCAGUUGUGAAAGUUUGCGGCUCAAACGUAAAAUUGCAGUUGAAACUGGCAGUCGUGAGUACAGUAGAGGUGUGCGGAAUUCGUGGUGUAGCGGUGAAAUGCUUAGAUAUCACGAAGAACUCCGAUUGCGAAGGCAGCUCACUGGACUGCAACUGACACUGAGGCUCGAAAGUGUGGGUAUCAAACAGGAGUAGAUACCCUUGUAGUC
rnacentral:rRNA from 1 species